CGCCACACGGGUCAGCACAGUGUGGGGAUGCCCCGUGGGGUACGCGGGUCCCGGUGCAUCCAGGCAGGGCGACCUGCAGCAGGAGCUCAAGGCAACAAUGGGUCACACUAGGGGACCCCAGGAAGAAGGGAAACCCAGAAAGCCCAGAGUCCCAGAAUAGGAUUCAAGCUGACUGGGGGAAGUCCCGGAGCCUGCGGAGAUGCCACCGCGGAGUCCCGGGUAGACCAGGGAGGGGAGGAUCCCGGAGCCCAGAAUCCCAGAAGGUGACGCUCAGCCGGUGGAGCCUGGGGGGUGCUGGAUCUAACACAGAGCUGGGGUAACCCUCGAGGACUUGCAGGCUCCCGAAGUCUCUGGGGACCUCCUCGGUAACCCAGGACCUGGAGGCCAGGAGGGAGUCCCCGAGGUGGCCCAGGAUCCCGAAAUCUGUGGGAAUGUCGCCUGCGGCCUCCAAGCAUCAUCCUCAAGAAACUCAGCCAGCUGCGGUUCUCACAUUUGUAGUCCUAACACAGUGGGAGGCCAAGGUGGGAGGAAUGCUUGAAGCCAGAAGUUAGACCAGCCUGGGCAACAUGGGACAUGGAUGAAUCUGAAACCGUCAUUCUCAGAAAACUGACACAAGAACAGAAAAGCAAACACCGCAUGUUCUCACUCAUAAGUGGGUGUUGAACAAUGAGAACACAUGGACACAGGGAGGGGAGCAUCACACACUGGGGUCUGGUGGGGGUCGGGGGCUAGGGGAGGGAUAACAUUG